CAGCUGCGAAAGUGAUGCUAUGUUAAUUUCCAAGAUGCACACAAUUAUUAUCAAGUGCAAUGUAUGUUACUGUCCAUAAUACAAAACAAUAUUUAUAUUCAACAAAUUCAUUACAGAAGAUAAGUACUGUACAUCACUGCUUUUCAACCAAACACUGCAUUUACAAAGGACAGUGCCUUACCUGGAAGUAAAGAAGCAUGCCUACAGCAAGGACAACACCAAUGGACAACCCCAGACAAAAUACACAAAAUACUAGGGCAUUUACAGACAAUGUCACCAUUGGUUCUGUUCCAUUUCCACAACAAUGGUACCAUACCUAUAGAAAUAAACACAUAAAUUCUGAUGCA